UCAUGGUUCCUAGUCGGAUUCGUUAACCACUGCGCCACGAUGGGAACUCCUUUUUUGGUAUUUUUGACAAACUUCUCAAAUACCAAAUUCUAAUUGAAGUUCUUUUGACCUCCAGCUAACUCUGGGAUGCUUCAAAGGAGCCCUAAGGCAUCUCCAGGGAAUAUUAAACUAAUUAAGCCUAUUUGUAUGUUAAAUUACUUGAAGCAUUAUUGAAUGUUUGGAGGUAAACCUUUGAUAUACUAUAUGGGCCACAGCGGAAGAGACAGAACGUAACUGGGUCGUGAUCUGUGUUGUACCAGAGCUCUGCAGCGAGUGCAUGGAGGGUCACAGCUUCACCGAGGUUGGUCGGGAAGAACACCUCUGGAACGGCAACAGGCGAGCAGGACUGGAAAGUGAGGAGGGAUCCCUGGGGACAGAGCUCGGGGCAGAGUAGAUGACAAGCACAAAUGCCCUCAGGUGGGAGCCAUUUUGCUUCUUGAAGGAAAAAAAGGAGACCUCUGUAGCCAGAGGGCAGCGAAUGAGGAAGACCCCCCACCACACACACACCAAGGGGGGGAUGGGGAGGGGAGGUCAAAGAUGAAGGCGGAGGGGCCACAUCAAUACUGUCAAGUCUUGAGCUUUUACACGGAGGAAGAUGGGAAGGCCCUGAAAGCUUCUGAGCCCGAGAGCCUCAGAACUAUUGUUUUAACGCAGGCUUUUCAAGAAGCAGUCUGGCCUGUCGUGCAAGGGUGACAGUGGGAGACAGUUGAGAGGCACUACAGUCAUCCAGGCUGGCCCAAGAAUAAACAAUGUAUACCAUGAAAUCCAAGCCCACUGUCACAUGUCUUUAUGCACGGUGGCUAAUGAAAGGAAGUGUAUUCUUGCUGUGGUACAUCUGUGGUUUGGGAGCCCCACGAGAUGG